rnacentral:rRNA from 1 species
AUGGAAGCAUGCCAUGCUAAAGUUGACGAUCUCUUUGUUUAUCCUUCUUUUCAUCUUGCCCUAUGUGAUCAUGCUACGAGUGCAUCAAGAUGAUUUAGUUACGAUCGAGUGCUUGACCCCUUGAGUAGGGCAUAUUCUUCAUCAUCUUUGUUGUUGUAUUGUAUCCCAAUGACCACGUCAUCAAAGAGACGGUCUUUCUUUGGUUUAGUCCACCAAUUUACCGUCAUUGGCCUGGUUAUACUCGCCACAAGCCUUGCUUUGUACCUUCCAAUCUUUCCUUCUACAUUCUGCUUCACAGGUGUAUACCCACUUGCAGUUGAUUGCAUUCUUUCCUGUUUGGAGGUGUUACUGCCCAUGUCUUGCUCUUACACAGAGCCUCGAGCCUCCAGCUCCUCCACCAAGGCCAUAUGUCAUUUUAAGUCACCCGUUUGCCUUCAUAUAAGUCGGAAUUGA